rnacentral:rRNA from 1 species
UACAGGGGGUGCAAACGUUGCUCGGAAUUAUUGGGCGUAAAGCGCACGUAGGUGGCCUGUUAAGUCGGGUGUGAAAUCCCUGGGCUCAACCCAGGAAGUGCACUCGAAACUGGCGGGCUUGAGUACUGAAGAGGGUCGCGGAAUUCCCGGUGUAGAGGUGAAAUUCGUAGAUAUCGGGAGGAACACCAGUGGCGAAGGCGGCGACCUGGGCAGAUACUGACACUGAGGUGCGAAAGCGUGGGGAGCAAACAGG